AAUCUACCUGGUUUYCAGGUCGAGUUGUAAUUUGAAGAUACGUUUUUGACGUUCCGGGUUGAACUAAAUCCUUUGGGAUAAGGUAUCAUGGAGGGUGAGAAUCCCGUAUAUACCAACCGUAGGGAUGUUAUUUAAUACGUUUCUAAGAGUCGAGUUGUUUGGGAAUGCAGCUCUAAAUGGGUGGUAAAUUUCACCUAAUGCUAAAUAUAAGCGAGAGACCGAUAGYGAACAAGUACAGUGAUGGAAAGAUGAAAAGAACUUUGAAAAGAGAGUUAAAUAGUAYGUGAAAUUGUUGAAAGGGAAACGAUUGAAGUCAGUCAUGCCRGUGGGAAUCAACUUAGAGGAAACUCUGAGUGCACUUCUUCGCUUGGCAGGUCAACGUCGAUUUUGGAUGUCAUAAAAUGAUUGGGGGAAGGUAGCUCCUUCGGGAGUGUUAUAGCCCUUGGUAGAUGUGAUGUCUGGGAUCGAGGAUUGCAAUGGAUACCCUUUGGGGCUAGCCGCCUGAUCUCUAAUCGGUAUUGGGUUACGGAUAGCAUGCUGACCGUGAUCUAAUUAUUGGUUAAAAGGUUAG
rnacentral:rRNA from 1 species